GGAUGUGAGGGCCAUCUGGAGGUGACAUCUGUCACCCUAUUGAUUGCCAGGGUUGAUUAGACUGACCUGGCUGUGCAUCCCUCCAGAAGCUGUGCACUAGGUUGAAGAGGAUGGCCUUCCCCGAACAGAGACAGGCCGGUCUCGGGUCGAGGGUAUAGGAGUGGCUGCGCUCCCCUGCUAGAACUUCCAAACAAGCUCUCAGUAAUGGAAUGUUGGAUCCUCUCUUCAGCAACAGAAAAAAUUUUUCCUUGCCAUGUUGUCUGGAGGACUGU
rnacentral:snRNA from 1 species